rnacentral:rRNA from 1 species
CCUACGGGAGGCAGCAGUGAGGAAUAUUGGUCAAUGGACGAGAGUCUGAACCAGCCAAGUAGCGUGAAGGAUGACUGCCCUAUGGGUUGUAAACUUCUUUUAUAUGGGAAUAAAAUGUUCCACGUGUGGGAUUUUGUAUGUACCAUAUGAAUAAGGAUCGGCUAACUCCGUUCCAGCAGCCGCGGUAAUACGGAGGAUCCGAGCGUUAUCCGGAUUUAUUGGGUUUAAAGGGAGCGUAGGUGGAUUGUUAAGUCAGUUGUGAAAGUUUGCGGCUCAACCGUAAAAUUGCAGUUGAAACUGGGAGUCUUGAGUACAGUAGAGGUAGGCGGAAUUCGUGGUGUAGCGGUGAAAUGCUUAGAUAUCACGAAGAACUCCGAUUGCGAAGGCAGCUCACUGGACUGCAACUGACACUGAGGCUCGAAAGUGUGGGUAUCAAACAGGAUUAGAUACCCUUGUAGUC